AUUUGUACUUUGUUUUUAAGGUGGAAAAGAAUCAGAGGCUCAAGUAAGGCAAAAACAGCAAAUGAUGUUCGCACAAUCUAAAUACCGACAAAAGCACAAGAGAGAAGAAUAUAUGAAAGCAAGAAAAGCAGCUGAAGAAGCCGAAACCCUGAAAAAGAAAGCAAUUCAGAGAGAAAAGGCAGAGCGACUUGAAGUUAAAAAAAGGCAACAAGAAAUGCAAAGAAGAGAGAUGUUCCUUGAAGAUCAAUUUCAGUAAGUAAAAUUUGAAAGUUCCUCCUUA